AUUGAACGCUGGCGGCAGGCCUAACACAUGCAAGUCGAACGAGUGGCGGACGGGUGAGUAAUGUCUGGGAAACUGCCCGAUGGAGGGGGCUAACUACUGGAAACGGUAGCUAAUACCGCAUACCAUCGGAUGUGCCCAGAUGGGAUUCGCUAGUAGGUGGGUUAACGGCUCACCUAGGCGACGAUACCUAGCUGGGCUGAGAGGAGGACCAGCCACACUGGAACGGAGACACGGUCCAGACUCUUACGGGAGGCAGCAGUGGGGAAUAUUGCACAAUGGGCGCAAGCCUUAUGCAGCAAUGCCGCGUGUAUGAAGAAGGUUUGCGGGUUGUAAAGUACUGUCAGCGAGGAGGCGUUACUCGCAGAAGAAGCACCGGCUAACUCCGUGUCAGCCGCCGCGGUAAUUC
rnacentral:rRNA from 1 species